AUGGCUGGGGAGAAGUCGCCUCGCGCUUUCUCCAUGGAAGAGUUACCGGGCCACCUCAUCGGGGAGGUACUGAGCUCCGGCAGGCUCGCCGCUGGUGACCUCGCCAGGCUUGAGGGUACCUGCCGCGCCCUCCGUCCUCUCGCUGAGCAAGCCGCCUCGCGGUUAUGCGCAGCGCGCAUGGCCUGCUCCGUCAUUGGGCCUGCGGCUCGUGGGGAGCUCCUCGCAAGAUGUGGCGGUAGUUGGAAGAAGGUGCUGAGGUUCCUGCAGUCAGUGGAGCAAUCCUUCGACACCGUACAUACCUCGUCCGGCAACAUGCAAGUAGCGACAGGGAGAUAUCACACGCUCUUAGUCCAUGACUCUUCGGUCUAUUCUUGUGGGUCCAGUUUGUGUGGUGUGCUAGGACAUGGUCCUGAUACUACACAGUGUGUGGCAUUCAGUCGGGUUUCCUUCCCGUCGCUUGCCCGUGUUGUUAAUAUAUCCGCCUUUCACAACCAUGCUGCUUUCGUUACAGAGUCUGGGGAGGUGUUCACCUGUGGAGAUAAUUCAUCAGCUUGCUGCGGUCAUGGGGAUGUGGGACGAACUAUAUUUCGGCCAACCCAAAUACUAGCCCUUAAAGGAAUUUCCUGCAAGCAGGUUGCUACUGGUCUAAGUUUCACUGUGAUACUUACGAGGAAGGGGCUAGUGUAUACAUGUGGAAGUAACACACAUGGCCAGCUUGGUCAUGGUGACACUACAGACAGGGCUGCUCCAAAGAUUGUUGAAUUAUUCAAAGGUCCCAGUCCAGUGGUGCAGGUUGCAGCUGGUGCAAGCUAUACAUUUGCUGUGACUGAUGAUGGGACAGUUUAUUCUUUUGGGUCUUGUACUAACUUCUGUCUUGGACAUGGGGAUCAGCACAAUGAACUUCUUCCACGUGCAAUCCAAUCAUUUAAGAGGAGGAACAUUCUUGUUGUCCGUGUAUCCGCUGGAGAUGAGCAUGCUGUAGCUCUUGAUGCGCUGGGAUAUAAGUCGGAUUUUUCUCUCCAGGUCUAUACAUGGGGUAGAGGCUACUGUGGAGCAUUAGGUCAUGGUGAUGAAAAUGAUAAAACUAGCCCAGAAUUGAUUGCCGGCCUGAAGGGUCAAGUUGGUGUACAGGUAUGUGCAAGAAAGAGAAAGACCUUUGUUCUCACUGAUGAAGGCUCAGUUUUUGCAUUUGGAUGGAUGGGCUUUGGGAGUUUAGGGUUUCCUGACCGCGGAUCAUCUGACAAAGUGAUGCAGCCUCGCGUUCUCGACAGCCUGUCUGGUCAUUAUGUCUCUCAAAUAAGUACUGGACUAUACCAUACUGUUGCAGUGACAAAUAAAGGUAUCGUGUUUGGUUUUGGAGACAAUGAGCGGGCGCAACUUGGGCAGGAAUUCAUUCGUGGGUGUUUGAAACCUACAGAGAUAAUGUUUGACAAAAGUAGUAUUGAGGAUAUAGCCAUUGCAGCGCCUAGUGGGUAA
rnacentral:rRNA from 1 species